GAAAACUGCUAAGAUACAUUGGAUCUGGAACAACACGGGAGUAUAUUUAGGUUGAAAUCCCAACCUCCAAUGAGAUGGUAUUAGGAAGUAGUAUCUUUGGGGAAUUGAGCAGAUCAUGACAUUGGAGCUGUCAUUACAGGAUUAGUAACUUAUAAGAAAAAGUCAUCUCUCUUGACCAUGUGAAGAGUCAACCAGAAGACAGCCAUCUGCACACUUGGAAGCUGGCAUUCACCAGAUACCAGACUAUGCAGCCCUUUGAUAUUGGACUUGCCAACCUCUAGAACUAUAAGAAAUAAGUGCUCAUUGCUUCGGACACCCAGGCUGUUGUAGCAGUCUGAACUGAAAAUAACACUAGGAAUUGGCUUCAGGAGUUGAAUGCUGUCUACAGCAUGCAGCUGGAACUGCAUCUCCAAGUGAAGUUUAGCACAGAAGUCCAAGUUCCAUGAGCUCUAGUAAGAUUUUCCCUUUUGAGUCAGCUGAGACUCUCUCUCCUCCACAACAAUAGUAUCUUGUAGUGGCACAUCUUGCCAUGGCUGUGAUCUGUUAUCAAGUAAUUUGGACAUAACUAUGUAUGACCUUAAUCUCUAUCAUGUUAAACUUGGUGGAAGACCAAAAGCAGUUGUAUGAAUUCAUAGAAUUCUGGGAAUCUUGUUUCUGUCACUCAACUUCAAAAUAAGAAAAACUUGCACAAAAAAUGUUCAUGACAACUUCAUUCAUAAUAGCCCAAAAUGUGGAGUCAACCAAUGUAUCCUUCAAAGAUCAAUGGAUAAACAAAUUCUGAUACAUUCAUGUGAUAGAAUAUUAUUCACUGAUAAAAAAUGAGCUAUCAAGCCAUGAAAGACAAUGGAGGAACCUUGAAUGCAUAUUGGACAGUUCGCAUGGCUGUUCUCACCAGCAGGAUCUGAUUUUCCCGAAGCAGUGACUUCCUAGGAGCCUUCAGAGAAAAGGGAGCAGAAAACCAAAACUCAUACCUAUAGUAAGUAGGACAAUCUGCAGAGAAUGGAUGAAGAAUUGUUGAAAUCACAAAAAAGAAGUCCUGGAAUCGGUUUGGUCAUAAUAGCCCAAACAUUCCUAGCCAAUCACUCAGCCACUUCAAUGCUUUUCUUUGAACAUCUUCCCCUGUUUUCUCUUAGUGCAGACUCUUCUCUACAAGUUUUACAGAGAAUGUCUCUUCUUUGGUUCAGAGGAAACUUUAGCAUCGUCCAGAAUCCCAGCCAGUCUUCCUCUGAUAUUCCCAUUACCACAGAGGGGCGUAAGCUUGUUUCUUGUCUCUGCUGUGGCCUGAGUUUAUGACACCACUCAUUAUUAUCCCUCUAUCUGCCAGUCUCUGGCUCAUUUCUGAACAACUGUCCUCCACUUUCUGCUGUAAUUUUUUGUUUAGUUGGCCCAGUUCCCAGUCAGUUCAGUGCUCUUGUGCUCAGCAAUUAUACUUCAGGGAAUUAUGU
ensembl:lncRNA